CCGCUCCCUUCCCCCCUCCCUGUCUCCCUCCCUUCUCUCCUCUGCCUCCUCCGCAGGCAGGACAGCUCCCUCCCACAUCUGGCGCCUGGAGACCCCGGACCCCCUGAGCACACCCCUGGACGCGCACCUGACCCGCAGCGCCCCUCGAGGGGCUCUGGUCGCUCGUUGGGGUGGGUGGCCGGAGCCGCGGUCCUCUGUACCCCCCCGACGGCUGGGGGGAGGGGGGAGGAGGCCGCGCGCCCCCCUCCCCGACACCAACUCCCCCUGGCGGCAGCUCCCAUGGGUGUCGCUGGGCCGCGCCAUGCCUAAGGGGGCGCCGCGAUGGGCCAAGGGGACGAGAGCGAGCGCAUCGUGAUCAACGUGGGCGGCACGCGCCACCAGACGUACCGCUCGACGCUGCGCACGCUGCCCGGCACGCGGCUCGCCUGGCUGGCCGAGCCCGAUGCCCACAGCCACUUCGACUAUGACCCGCGGGCAGACGAGUUCUUCUUCGACCGCCACCCGGGCGUCUUCGCUCACAUCCUGAACUACUACCGCACCGGCAAGCUGCACUGCCCGGCCGACGUGUGCGGGCCGCUGUACGAGGAGGAGCUGGCCUUCUGGGGCAUCGACGAGACGGACGUGGAGCCCUGCUGCUGGAUGACCUACCGCCAGCACCGCGACGCCGAGGAGGCGCUGGACAGCUUUGGCGGUGCGCCCCUGGACAACAGCGCUGACGACGCGGACGCCGACGGCCCUGGGGACUCGGGUGACGGCGAGGACGAGCUGGAGAUGACCAAGCGACUGGCGCUCAGUGACUCCCCAGAUGGCCGGCCUGGCGGCUUCUGGCGUCGCUGGCAGCCGCGCAUCUGGGCGCUGUUCGAGGACCCCUACUCAUCUCGCUAUGCGCGGUAUGUGGCCUUUGCCUCCCUCUUCUUCAUCCUGGUCUCCAUCACCACCUUCUGCUUGGAGACCCACGAGCGCUUCAACCCAAUCGUGAACAAGACAGAGAUCGAGAAUGUUCGGAAUGGCACGCAAGUGCGCUACUACCGCGAAGCGGAGACUGAGGCCUUCCUCACCUACAUAGAGGGUGUCUGUGUGGUCUGGUUUACCUUCGAGUUCCUCAUGCGUGUUGUCUUCUGCCCCAACAAGGUGGAGUUUAUCAAGAACUCACUCAACAUCAUUGACUUCGUGGCCAUCCUCCCCUUCUACCUGGAGGUGGGCCUCAGCGGCCUGUCCUCUAAGGCUGCCAAGGAUGUCCUGGGCUUCCUGAGGGUCGUGCGCUUCGUGCGGAUCCUGCGCAUCUUCAAGCUGACCCGCCACUUUGUGGGCCUGCGGGUCCUGGGCCACACACUCCGUGCCAGCACCAAUGAGUUCCUGCUGCUUAUCAUCUUCCUGGCCCUGGGCGUGCUCAUCUUUGCCACCAUGAUCUACUACGCCGAGAGGAUAGGGGCCCAGCCCAACGACCCCAGCGCCAGCGAGCACACGCACUUUAAGAACAUCCCCAUUGGCUUCUGGUGGGCUGUGGUCACCAUGACGACACUGGGCUAUGGAGACAUGUACCCGCAGACGUGGUCCGGUAUGUUGGUGGGAGCACUGUGUGCGCUGGCAGGUGUGUUGACCAUCGCCAUGCCCGUGCCUGUCAUCGUGAACAAUUUCGGGAUGUACUACUCCUUAGCCAUGGCUAAGCAGAAACUACCAAAGAAAAAAAAGAAGCAUAUUCCUCGGCCACCGCAGCUGGGAUCUCCCAAUUAUUGUAAAUCUGUCGUAAACUCUCCACACCACAGUACUCAGAGUGACACAUGUCCGCUGGCCCAGGAAGAAAUUUUAGAAAUUAACAGAGCAGGUAGGAAACCUCUUAGAGGCAUGUCGAUCUGACCUUUCACCUCUGCACCCUGUAGCGAUGAUUCCAGAUUCAGUCAGACUGCUUCCUUAGUUCUGUGGGGCAACCCUGGUCCCUGCUCUCAAUCUUGAGGUGUGGAGCCUGGGGGCCCAGGGAGAUGCUGGGUGGCCAAAUUCAGAGCUUGCUAGUGGAACCUCACUGGUGCCCUGGGUAAGGAGGUUGACGUGGUUGGUCUCUUCAAGUUCUAAAGAGACCAAACCAACAGCGCCAGGUUGCUGAGGACUCUUAGCAGGAGCCCAGAGGCUACUGAGUCAUGGGAAGGAGUCAUGUCUAAGUCUCUUGACUCAGGCGACUGACCCAGUGUUGGGCAGGGAGGGAAUGGGUGUGAUUCGGAGUCUCCAGUCAGCCUUUGGUCUUUAACAUGGCUCCCUUUGGGCUGUGAGGGCAGUAGUGAUGCAUGGGAUCCAGGCAUCAGGGUGUCUGCAAAGGCAGUAGCCAGGAUUCUCAGCCCUAGCACAGCCUGUCUCCACAGCUGAGCAGAAGGUAGCCAUGAUGCUGGCUGCCUAGCUCCAGGUCCUUCCUAGGAGUUGCCCCUAGCCUUCCGUGAAAAGCUUACUUCCCUGCAGCAUGCCAAACCAACUCAUCCUCUACCACCACCCUAGAGUUUAGCAUUUAUCUUUAGGAACCUGUUGGAGUGACUCUGGCUUUCACGUUGUCUGUUGGGUUGAUGGUCCAGUGGGAGUUUCUGGUGACCUUCUGAUGGAAGUGGCUGGUGAGCGGAGGACUAGAGGGGCCACACCCUGGGCAGCCUAGAUGAGCGUAUACAGACCAACAACAACCUCCCACUGCUGAGAGUUGUCUCUAUGUCUGGCAGUAGGGAGUGCAGCAGCGAUACAAGACAUCCCAACCACUUACCCACGAGGUCACUGGGGGCCAGGGAGCAGGGAGGGGGCCAUGAAACAAUACUAGUCACUGUGGGAUAUAUUCUCAUAUUCCAUGGCUAGUGGUUUGUUAUGGGACUAUCUCAGUUUUAUGAGAUCUUGCACAUAGCACAUAAAGUUGAUCAUGGGGCUCUGGUCCGAAGAUGAAAACCCACAGUCUACCUCUACCCAUGGAAUCCCAUUGACUUACUCUGAGGACACAGGGAUCUCCAAGGAACAGAUGACCCAGAGAAGAAUGACAACACUAAGCUAAGUAGUACUGGGUGAGCAUGAGGUUGAUGCAAGCUUGGAUCUAUUUAGUCUAUAAAGGAUGCCUCGUGCUUGUGUCUGGCAGGGGCCUGCAGGCUUGCCCAACUCCAGGUGAGGAAGUCUCCCUUUGGCUUGGGUGGCCUCCCUCUGUGGAUGAUAGAUGUUCUCUGCUGGUGUGCUGUCUGACCCACCUCCCUAUCCCAACCCCUUCAUUCCACAGCGGACCAGCCUGAUCAGUGUCCCAAGGUCCAUUUCUUACCUUCAGGACAUUCCGUGCCCUCCCCUUCCUGGGAUUCCUGAUUGGUGUUCCCAGCAUGGAGUCCCAAGUCAGCCUAUUGAUGCUCCCCAACUUACUCCAGGCACAGGUUUUUCUCAGUGCCCAGAUGCAUGCAUGCGCGCGCGUGUGCGUGUGCGCGCGCGCGCGCGCGCACACACACACACACACACACACACACACACACACACACACACACACACACACACCUAGCUAGUCCCAGGGACAUCAACCCUCCUUCCAUCUUGCAUCAGGCCUACAGAGCCUGUGUAUCCCUCUGGGAUUUACCCUGGGUUCCCCAGCCCCACCCAGCCUUGGCACCUCUGCCCCAGUGAGACAACUUGCCCUGGCUUUAAGUCUCAAGGACCCAGAGAGUCUGGUUUGGGCAGUCUUAUGACUUGCUGUCUGGAACCUGAGUGUCCUCCCUCUCCCCUCCUCCACCUGUUCUGUUCCCUUCUCCUUUGAUUGCCAUGUUGGUGUGGUCCUGAUUUUCAGACCACCCUCUGGGCUCUAAGACUGAGUCUCACCCUGAGCCUCAUCCCUCACUAGAACACGGCUCACCCCAAGUGCUGGAGUGUGAGUCCAAGGGGCCCAGGUUUUCUAGGAGAUAUCUUCACUCAUGCCUACACCACUGGUUCCCUUCCCAUUCAACUCCUUUUCUGCUCAGUUAUGUGCCUGGACGGACAUGGGGCAGAGGUGAGUCUGUAAGAAAAUGAGGGAAAAGCCAGAGGCUAGAAAGGCAGAUGUGGUAGGUAGAGACCAGACCCCAUGGGAAUGUGGGAGACAACAUUGCGGUCUCCCAAGGUCCUUCAGCAGAGGCUGUUAAACAGAUUCCCAAGCUAGGGGUAUCUCUAGUUCUACUAAAACCUGAGUUAAGGACUGAGCUAGGAUGCUGGGCCCUGCACUGAGGCCAGAUUUCCCAGCUGUGCAAGUGACUCUCCCGGUCCUACUCCCUCCACCUCUUGGUCACUGCUGAAACCAUUCUGUGUGGAAACCAGUCUGUGUGUCUGUCCCAAGAAUGUUGUGAUCUCCUCUUUGGGGCUUGAAUGGCCUCAGUCUUUGGGGGUCUGGUCUUGAUGGGCUGUCAAGGGUCUAGGUCUCACUUGGGUGUGAGACCAGAUGGCAGAGGCAGGAACUCCCUGGGGUUGAUGGCCAAGAGAAGCUGCCUUCCUCCUGGAGGGGGCUUCCGCCUCAUCCACAGUGGGCUAACCACCUGCUCUGGGCUGCUCCAAGUUCCCUCUGUCGUGCUGUGUCCAUUCUCGUGUCUUAUCCAUCUCUGCUCCUGUGAUGCGGGUCAGUCCCUCGUGGCAUGGGGUCCAGGGCUACAGGGUCCCAGGGUCAAUGAUAAAGAGGAAUGUAGGUGGGGUGGCUUGGCUCCCUUCUGUGGGCACACAGAGCAGCAGUGAGGGCCCAGAGGAGCCCCCAUCUGGGCCUCCUAGGAGCUGCCAAGAAGCCUCAGGGUGGUCUUGGGAAGAGGGGUUUCUCCCUUGAGUAGCAGAAUCCAAAGUCUCUCAUCCCUGGGCCCUCCAGAUGUCCUCCGCUGGGCUGCUGUGGCUACAAGUGGUGCCAGUGGGGUAGGGAGAAUAGUGUGAUUGGGGACAGAAUUGAUGGGGCAGGAUGCAAGGCUGCAGAAUGUACUAGAACCCAAUGGUAGGGCUGGCAGCCUGGACCCUGAGUGGUGGAGUCCUAGCUGCCUGCGUGAAUGAAGCAGUUGGAGAAAUCAGCUACCUGUGAGGGCCAGGCCUGGGUGUUCUCCGUGUUGUUCACAUUCUCUCUCUCCCUCUCCACUAAUCCUCUCUCUCUCUCUCUCUCUCUCUCUCUCUCUCUCUCUCCCCGUCUCUCGUUUUGUUGCAUGAUUGUGCUGGUUCCCAUGACUGUUGUCUCUCACAGCCUGUCCCCCUUUAGCGCAGGAUGUUUUCCCCUGAGUCCCCAGCUGGGCAGACCCCUCAGAGGUAAACUGAAGGGAAUGCGCAGUCAACUAACCCCAGUCCAGCCCUGCGUGCGCCCGGUGGCGCCCGCUGCUGGUAUGAACAGUAAGUACAUCGGAGUGUCUGGAGAUGGCAGGAAAGCCAGCCUGCUGACUGACAGAGGGGCCCGUUCAUCGUGUUCGCUCUCCUUGCUCCAAAGUUUAAAAAAAAUGACCCUCUCGCAGACUCCCAUCUCAAUCCAUUUCAAAGCCUGGAAACCAUCUCUGAGAUGCUGCCCGUGCUGCCAUUUCAUCAUCACAAGCCUGUUGGGUUAGUGGUGGCCUGGGGCCCUAGGCCAGAGGAGGUGGGCUCAGCCCUCUAAACGCAAGUGGGAACCUAGGUUCUAAGCUGCCUUACAUCCCAGGAGAGCAGGCAGGUGGGGACUCUGGGAUCUUUCAUCUGUUGCCUUUCUUAUGUCUCCCCGAAUGUAGAAAGUUGGCCCCUUUGUUUUUUUUCUCUCUCUCUUCUGGUCAUCCCCACUGGAUGGGAGAUGGAAUUGGAGACAGGAAGUGAAUGACCCAAGUUCCUGAGAGCAGCUUCAAACUGCAGAUAAACCAUCAGCCACCCAGUCACAGACCUUUCCUCAAAGGUCAAUGUUGAGAAAGGAAGUGGGCCGCAGACAUCCUGGAAACCCCCACCCCCAAUCCUGCCCUCCAAGAUCCCAGGUGUCUGCUCCUUGCCCCUGGCCCCCCAGAAAGACCACUCCACCUUUAUGUCCUUUACAGUUCCAGAGGGGAGACCCAGGGGCAGGGAGCUUCUGGGCAGAGCCUGUGGGUGGUGAUUCUGCCCUCAGCACCAGAGGAGGGAUCACAGGCUGUACUGUCUCCUGGAAGGCAGAGGCAGAGAGGGGCAGUCACUACUUGACCCCUCCUUUGGACAAGAACAGCAGGCCAAUGACACCCACCAAAAAAGAGCAAGUCUCUCUUCACCUGGAGGGGACCCGCCUGGAGGAAAAGUCAUGCAGGGCACAUGGACCCCAGCUUCCAUUCCCUUCCCCUCCUUCAGCACCUUACCGCCUCCCCCAUCUCCCAGCACCCUCCUCUCAGUCAGAGAUCCUCCGGGAGGGAGAUGAGGACCAGCUGGAAUGCAAGGCAGGACUUGCAUGUCUGUGGGCACAUAUGUAUGCCCCACAUGCUAGGCAGUCCCUGGUCCAUCACAUGGUGUCAGAGUUUCCCCAGUCACUGGCCUUUCUGCUUUGGAGUCAAUCAGGAGCAGAGGCCCUGGGAUCUUCAAGGAACACACCGUAUGUGAAAUGCUUUGCCAUCUUGUACAACAGACUUUUUUUAAGUUCCAAAAUUAUGAUGGGAAUUUUUUUUUUGGAUUUGCUUUACGAAUAAAUCUGAUUGGUCCAUUUCUCUUUUGACUGACUGCCUCUUUGUAGUGACAUGAUAAUGUACACAGGUGGAGAUCCUUCUCCUGUGCACACUGAGCGUGUGCAAGUAGGGAAGGAUCACUCCUGUGUGUAGUUACAUGAUGUGAACAAGAUCAUGGGAGAAGGUCAGAGCGGGACUUUUCCCUAGCUUGCUUUCAGAGAGCCUCCCCUAACAUGGUCACCAUGUUGGUUUCCUUCUCUCACCACAGGGCUUUUGCCCAAGGCCCCUACUCUAGUGGCAGCAUUGGGUGGGCUUCAUCCUGCCCAGGAAGAUUCUGCUCUGAGGGCAGAGAGUGAGGGGCAAGCUCAGUCCCCCAGGGUGACAGAGGUGGGUGGCAAAGUCAGUCAGAGCCACGUCUGCCAGAAAAGCUCCAAGGCUUUGUCUUGGGAGUAGGGAGAGCCAGGGAACAUGGCUCUGGCCACAUUUGGUCCCCCCACCAUACCUGCCCCACCCCCCGGCCUCCUCCCAGGUUCCUUAUCAGGCUACUACAGAAGCCAAGACUCGAGCUUUCCCCACCCAAGGCCAUCAGUUGCUGCUGUCUUCUACACAUCCAUUUGCUCUGCUUUGCCCGGGAUGCUAGCAGAAGGGACAGGAAUGGGAGUCCCUCCCCACAUCCCUGUCCAGCCAUCACAGCCUCAUGCAUAUGCAUACAUCCUUGUGAAAGCUGACCAGGCCCCCUGGAGUGGUUCAGGGAGACACUGCUUGAUGUGGGUGGGUGGCGGUGUGGGUCUGCAUGGGGACAGAGCAGAUGCAGGUGGAGUGGUCUAAUUGGGUCUGUGGGAGCACAGGGGAAACUGUGCCCAGGCCUAGUCUGCAUGGAUGGUGGGGCAGAUCAAUCAGAUUGGGAUCCUAUGGGAACAAUGAAAUGUGUGACCAGACCUAGUCUGUACAAGUGAUAGGGAACCUGGAGGACCAGGUAGAGUCCUUAUGGAGAUAGUGUGGAAGUUGUGACCAGCCCUCAUCUUUGUGUGGGACAGUUUCAGAGGGACCUGAUUGUGUGCUUUUAGGAGCAGCUUAGAAAAUGUGACCAAGACUAGUUUGUGUGGGGGACAGAGUUUCAGAGGGACCUGAUUAUAUCCCUGUGGGAACAGUAUAGAAGGUGCGAUCAGGCUUAGUCUAUAUAGGGGACAGUGUCAGAGGGACCAGAUUGGGUAGGAUAGACAAGAAGUGUGGCUAGGUCUAGUCUCUGUGGGGGACAAUGUGGUCAAAUUGCAGGGGACAGCAUGAAAUGUGUGCCCAUGCAUAAUCUGAACAGGGAAUGGGGAGUCAGAGCGACUAGACUAUGUUCCUAUGGGUACAGAAUAGAAGGUAUGAUCAGGCCUAGUCUGUAUGAGACAAAGUCAUAGACAUACCAGAUUUGGUCUUUGUGGGGACAGAGCAGAAGGUGUGCCCAGUCCUGGGGCAUCUGAAUGGCCAGGUUGGGUCUACAUGGAGUGGUGGGGGCAAGCUGAGUAAUCAGUUAUAGGGAUUGAGGAACAGGAACAAAUGAUGGAAUGGGACCUGCAUGGGAAGGAACAGAGGAGAUCAGAUGGGGUCUGGCUGGGCCUAGGGCAGCUGAACCACUGGCUGAUGUCACCUGGAGGCAGCCAGGCUCUGGUCAGCAGCAGAGGUGUCUGAAAGACCACCUCUCUGGACUGGAGUCCUUCUGAGUGUCUGUCUGUCUUCUCCCUCAGCUCUGUGUCUGGUCUCUCCCCAUGAAUGCAUCAUACCAUUCUGUGUCAUUGGCCCUGCCUCGGGUCCUGGGCCUGGCUCCCAGCACCACAUGCCAGGCCCAUCAUCAACUCAUCUUUUUGCAAACUUUGAGCAAACCCAGGAGCCUCUUUCCCUACACUGUGGGCAGCCAUGCUGUCUGAAUGAGCUGAACCCCCUACUAGCCCCCACCCCUUCUCCAUGGUUCAUCCACUUUUCCAUCCUCAGGAACCGGAAGCCCUGUGUCAAAUGCCCAUUCUCUGGCUUGUCCCCCCCCACUAAACAGUUUUCGGUGUCUCAAUAGCUUCUGCUUAUAUGUUUGAAGAUUCCAAACUGAAUGGGGAGGUGGCGAAGGCCGCGCUGGCGAACGAAGACUGCCCCCACAUAGACCAGGCCCUCACUCCCGAUGAGGGCCUGCCCUUUACCCGCUCGGGCACCCGCGAGAGAUACGGACCCUGCUUCCUCUUAUCAACUGGGGAAUACGCGUGCCCACCUGGUGGAGUGAGAAAGGAUCUUUGCAAAGAAAGCCCUGUCAUUGCUAAGUAUAUGCCGACAGAGGCUGUGAGAGUGACUUGACCAGGCGGCUUGGCCGAGGACACUGGUGGCUAUUAAGCAUCUGGGUGGACCUGCAACCCCUCCUCACCCUCGGACAGAGUAAAUUCACGCCAUGCAGGUUUGCCGGACGAGUCCGAGUGGCCCAGGCAUUGUUCUAGGACGGACGUAGUUUUAUCUACGGCCAAUGGUAACUGACCGUAGAGGAUUGCUCUUCCUUCUUCUCAUUUUUUUAAAAGUUAUCUUUUAUUUGGGGAGGGGGGUGGAGGGGAUCUUUAGCAUGACUUGCAUGAAGUUAAACAGAAAACCCAGCUAAUCCAAACCUACCAACCCCCCUGCAACUGUAUGAUUGAUUACCCUGACCACCACGAAGAACAGAAGGAAAAAGCAAAAGUCCUUCAUUUUCUUUCAGACCUCUUAACUUUUACACACGUGGUUGGAGCCAAACUGUAAUGGCACUCGGUAGAAACCUGUAUACUUCUGGGAGUGGGGCAGGGGGGAGGAAGGAUGGGGCCAGGGAAUGGAUUGCUUCCCUUUUUGUAUACAAGAUCCAGAGGAAAGGUUUCAAAAAGGGCAGUUGGUCAGUCAUCGGUCAUAUUGACCUCGCCUUCAUAGCUCAUCUCUCAUGCGGAAACUGAGAACUUUGCUCCAAAUAGGAUUGUGGAAACUCGUACUGCUGCCUUCUUCCGUCUCUGCCUGGCAUGCUUGUGACCCAGCGGAUGCCUCCCCAAGAACCCCCGGCAGCAGCUAGUUUAGGUUGAUUCUCUCAUCUUAUCGGUGUGUAGAUCCAGUGUGACCAAGUUUCAUAACAAAUUGUUCAUAAUCAGCACCGUAUGGAUUUUCCAAUGUCAUUUUAAAACCAGGAUGUAGAGCACCUCAAGUUCAGGACCACAGGAGGGGUGCCUCCCCUCCACCUCUACUAAGGCACAACUUGGCAUUGUACACAAUUUAGUACUUCAGAGUAAAAACUGCAUGCCCAAUGUUAUGCAAAGAGAUUCGAGCAUGAAAUAAAUUUUGUAUCAUGGUUUCUGUCUAGUCUAAAGCAGAUUUGUUUUCCUGAAGCAAUCGGAGGUUUGCAGAGACACGCUUCUGCAUCUUGAAUAAAUAUAGUAUUUUCCCAACAGAAA